UGAGAGCAAGAGCCCGGAGAUGGAUUCUGAGACACGAAUCCAGGCCCUACGGGGUGCAGCAGGCGCGAAAACUUUACAAUGCUGGCAACAGCGAUAAGGGAACCUCGAGUGCCAGGUUACAAAUCUGGCUGUCGAGAUGCCUAAAAAGCAUUUCAUAGCAAGGGCCGGGCAAGACCGGUGCCAGCCGCCGCGGUAACACCGGCGGCUCGAGUGGUAACCGUUAUUAUUGGGUCUAAAGGGUCUGUAGCCGGCCGGAUAAGUCUCUUGAGAAAUCUGGCAGCUUAACUGUCAGGCUUUCAGGAGAUACUGUCUGGCUCGAGGCCGGGAGAGGUGAGAGGUACUUCAGGGGUAGGGGUGAAAUCUUGUAAUCCUUGAAGGACCACCAGUGGCGAAGGCGUCUCACCAGAACGGACCUGACGGCAAGGGACGAAAGCUAGGGGCACGAACCGGAUUAGAUACCCGGGUAGUCCUAGCCGUAAACGAUACUCGCUAGGUGUCGGCCACGGUGCGACCGUUGUCGGUGCCGUAGGGAAGCCGUGAAGCGAGC
rnacentral:rRNA from 1 species